rnacentral:rRNA from 1 species
GACGUAGGAUGCAAGCGUUGUCCGGAUUUAUUGGGCGUAAAGAGUUCGUAGGCGGUUUGGUAAGUCUGAUGUUAAAGACCGAGGCUCAACUUCGGGACCGCAUUGGAUACUGCCAGACUGGAGUGUGGUAGAGGCUAGUGGAAUUCCUAGUGUAGCGGUGAAAUGCGUAGAUAUUAGGAAGAACACCAGUGGCGUAGGCGACUAGCUGGGCCAUAACUGACGCUGAGGAACGAAAGCCAGGGGAGCAAAUGGG